rnacentral:lncRNA from 10 species
UCCUUCCCUUGGCCCCGCGCGCUCGCUCGCUCGCUCCUCGCCUCGCUCUCCCCUUUAAACGCCCACUUCGUAUGGGGAAAGAGGACAACUUGAAGUCAAGUUGCAAUUAACUUCCGCGGCAGCCGCAGCUCCGGCGGCGGCGGCGGCGGCAGGAGAGGCAGAAGCCGCCGCCUCGGAAGUCCGACGCCGGCGCGCCCGCCCGGGGAGCCGUUCUUGGUUUCAGGCCCGCACUCGACAGCCACCGCCGCCCCCAACGUCCAUGCCUGAGUGAUCUUUAGACAGUGACUGAGUAUGGAUCAUUUGAACGAGGCAACUCAGGGGAAAGAACAUUCAGAAAUGUCUAACAAUGUGAGUGAUCCGAAGGGUCCACCAGCCAAGAUUGCCCGCCUGGAGCAGAACGGGAGCCCGCUAGGAAGAGGAAGGCUUGGGAGUACAGGUGCAAAAAUGCAGGGAGUGCCUUUAAAACACUCGGGCCAUCUGAUGAAAACCAACCUUAGGAAAGAUAUUGAAAUUGUGUAUUAUGAGCACCAGUUUGGUUAAGUACUUUUUGUGGAACCAGUUAGAGCUAAUAUCUAAAAAAGGAAGAAAAUGAUUUGUGGAACCAGUUAGAGUUAAUAUCUAAAAAA